CCCUUCCUAACGCAGGCCUCUGGGUUUCAUCCUCUGGGUUUCAAAAUCUGGGUUUAAUCCUCUCAAUCAUUCUCUCUAAGGUAUUAGCCCAAACUGCCGACUCUUCCAAAGAAGCUGAUAAAUCAUGUUCUUCUUCUUCAUCUUUCUCCUCCAACCCAGGUUAGUUAACUUUCCUAGAAUCAAAAUAGUUUCACUUUUCAUAGACACACACCAUCUGCUUGAUAUAAAGCUUCUGUUUUGCCAUAAGAGAAAGGGAAC